rnacentral:tRNA from 1 species
UGCGGUGUGGAGAAGAUGGUUAACUCAUCAGGCUCAUGACCUGGGGAUCGUAGGUUCAAAUCCUACUGCCGCAU